rnacentral:rRNA from 1 species
UACGUAGGGUGCGAGCGUUAAUCGGAAUUACUGGGCGUAAAGCGUGCGCAGGCGGUUGAUUAAGACAGGCGUGAAAUCCCCGGGCUUAACCUGGGAACUGCGCUUGUGACUGGUCAGCUAGAGUACGGCAGAGGGGGGUGGAAUUCCACGUGUAGCAGUGAAAUGCGUAGAGAUGUGGAGGAACACCGAUGGCGAAGGCAGCCCCCUGGGCCGAUACUGACGCUCAUGCACGAAAGCGUGGGUAGCAAAC